rnacentral:lncRNA from 1 species
UUGCCGACGUCCGUCACAGUCAGCCCUUCCCAAUUCUCCACAUGGAUCGAUAAAGUUCUUUUGAAGCUUGAGAAUUUGUCCUUAGGACCCAACAGUCGACCAACCUAGAAGGAAUGGUCAUAUUGCAACGCCACUCCUUUCUUGACCCCAAACUUGAGUCGUGAAGAAUCUUCCACAUUCCUUCAUUCACUGCAAGUAGCUUCCAAGCUUUCCUAAAGUUCUAGUAGAUAAGGAGAAAGAAACCCCCUGCUCAGAGGGGGCUUAGUUAAUUAGUUUGCUCUUUCUUCAGUGCUUAUACUAGUCUCCUCAGGGACUUGGGCGGGUCGCGGUUCAAGGGCUAAAUAGCGCCAGUGGGAGCCCGAAACCACGUUUUAGGGAAUUCUAGAAGGGUAGAGCACAAACCCUUCUUCAAACAGACCAUCAUUCUAUUAUUAGAUUUGCAGCCAGGGAACCUAAAGAGGCAGGUAAGGGUGGACCGAACUAGCGCUCAUUUAGGAUGAUUUCGCUAUAAUAGUGGUUGAGAGGAUGCGACUUCACAAAGUCAUAGCCAGAAAUGCAGUGGCUGCCGCCAUGAAAGUGAGUGAUUUUUCAAAGAAAAAUUCUUUAAAAUCUCUAGGACGGCUAGGUCAAGACGAAAAAGGUUAUUGGUAUUGAUCAAAUCUAUAUGUAAUACCCCGGAAUUUAGAUACUAGUUUCUAAUAUUAUUUGGAAAUUUUCGAGUUAGAAGUUAGUGGGUUUUUAAGGUUCGAAGGAAAAGUGGAAGUGUUUGGACACAUAAAUUACUCGAAAUGGUUCUUUUUUCUUUAAAGGUCAUAGAGUAGACUUUUUAUUCGUUGGGUUUCUCAAGAAACUUCCUUCAUGAAAGUUGUAGAGUUUGGCGAUAUGAGUUCGUAAACAUGCGGUACACGUAAAACGAAUGUUGUAUGAAAAUGUUACGGUUAGAGGAAGUUAGUUUCCGAUUUUAGAAAGUUUAUAAAUAGAAAGAGGGAACCCUAAUUUUCAGAAAAGCCCUCUCUCUCUCUCUCNNNNNNNNNNNNNNNNNNNNUACGUACUACUACUACUCUCUCUCUCUCUCUCUCUCUCUCUCUCUCUCUCUCUCUCUCUCUCUCUCUCUCUCUCUCUCUCUCCUAUCUCCCGACCCUCCCACGCACUCUCUCUUCUCCGGCUCAGUUCUCCUCCGUCCGACCACCAAAUUGGACGCUGCAGGUCACGUUGGAUUCGCACAGAUCUGCUCUCCACUCUGGGGCAGCGUUGCUCGCCGUCUAGACGCCGCCACGAAGUGACGGAGCUGUUGCUGUCUCGCUGGAAAACUGGCGAUUUUGGCGACGACGAGGGGCUACCUUAGGCGAGUCUAGGUCCUCUUCUCCUUCUAGUUGUGGCUAGGCAUAGAUUGAAACAAGUUUUUGAAUUUUUGAACCCCAGAUUUGCAUAUUUAAGUUUGAGUUCGUGGUGGAGUUUAAAGGCGUUUUCCGGCCAAUCCCGGCCGAACUAGUUGAACCUUCAAGUAUUAAAGUUGCUCACCAUGCUUCAAGCUUCAAGUUUGCUGUUUUGAGUUUGCUCAAAUUCGGAAGUUUCGGGGUGGCGUGUGGGGCUCACUCGCCGCCGCCUGUGGCGGCGCGUGGCAGCGCGUUCGGCAGUGUUUCUAGCUUUAAUUUCUUUGGUUAGCUAGCUCUUGUUGUUGUGAGCUUGUUAAGAUGUGGAAUAUGUUUUGAGUAAGGAUUGCAGGCUAGGCUCUAUGUUUAAUCAUAGACUUGUGAGAGGUUUUGAGUUUAGGAUUUAGGAAUUUGAAGCAGCAGUAACGGGUUGUUAAGUUCGACGACCUUAGAAGGUUGUCCUCCUUUAGAUUAAGGUUUGUUAAGGAUGCAAUGUUCUUUUUGUUCAAGUGGUUACUAAGGUUAUUAAUUGUGUUAAAUAGGUAGCUUGUGGAGUUGAUAUUUGAGCUUGGCUUUUGAGUUUAUUAUGAAGACGCAGCAGAAUUUUAGGUGAGUAAAAUCUCACCAAGGCUCACUUUGGGACCCAAUUAUUUAUGGUUAUUAUGAUGAUGAUGAUGAUAAUGAUGAUUUAAAAAUUAUGUUUUUGUUUGUUUAAAAAUAUAUGAGCUUGAUCGCCAAUGGCUCAUAGGUAAGAGAAAACAAGUUUUCCUAUUUAAAUGAUUAUUUUUAAGGUUCUUGUGACCAUAAUAUUUUUGGUUCUUAGUAGAUUAUUAUUGUGAGAAUAUCUAUGUGUAUGUAAAUAUAUGUCUAUGUGAAAAGGUAUAUUAAUUAUAAUGAGGUGUUGCUUGUGUUAGUUCUAUUGAUGUGGUUAUUUAUGCCUUGUUGAAAUAUAUGUCAUUUGGAUGAGUAUUAUUGUGAUGUCUAAGUUGAGCUAAUUGUGACUUAUUUGAUGUUCUAAGCCAAAGAAAUUUUGCUUGAUUGGUGAAAUUGUGCCGUAGUAGUGAUUGUGUGUCUUAAUGGUGAUUGUAUGCAUUACACUACCAGAAGAAAGGUUUUAGCCGACAAAAAUAAAAAACCAGGCCGACGAAUUAUUUUUUCGUCGGCUAAAGUCCACUUUAGCGGACGAAAUUUCCUUUCGUCGGCUGAAAUUUCUUUUCGUCGGCUAUGGUCAACUUUAGCCGACGAAAUUAAAAUUUCGUCGUCUGAAUAAUUUUUUUCUUCGGCUAUAGUCUGUGAACUUUAGCCGAUGAAAUUUUUAAAAGUUUAGCCGACGAAAAAUAUAAUUUCGUCGGCUAAAGCAUUUAAAUAUCUACAGAUCUGGACAACAACUCAUCUGAAAAAAAAACUAUACGUAGAACCUUCAAACGCAAAAAUGUUGUGAAAUAAGAUAUGACCAGAAUGGUGAAAUACGUCUACGGUUGAAAAAUCACGGUAUUCCGGUAAAGUCUUGGUGCCGAUAGUUGCGGUCAAUGCAAUUUACCCUUAUUAUUCACUAUGCUGCAGAUUUGGUUUUUGGUGUCUGAUUGACUAUUGUGAUACCUUUCCGGAAGCGUAACGGCCCUACGAGUCAAACUCAUCGCUAUGCCAUGAUGUAUGGGCCUUUUUGGCCAUCCGAGUUCGUUUAGGGCUUCAAAAUGCAGUUUUCUUAUUUCCGACUAGAGUUGACCGUUUCGAUCGAGCCCUUAACGUUGUCGAAUCCAGUUGAAUUUUUUACCAUAGACAUCUUUCGUCAUAAUGAUCAUAUCUAACGGUCGAAUUUUGGUUUGUAAAUUUUAGUCAUCGGAAUCACAACGUGUCUACUAUUUACCGUUAUUAUUCCCUAUGGGGAGCCCUAUCGUCGGAAGGUAAAUGUCUCAAAAUUUUUAUAUGGGCAGUUGCGGCUCAUCUACAUGAGAGUUUUUCGUGAGGAAGAUUUGAUCAAACUAUGUAAUAUAGAGGGAGAUAUGAGCGUUUUCGUGUGAUAAGUGACGAUGGAUAAGGGUUGACCGUUUCGAUCGAGCCCUUAACGUUGUCGGAUCCAGUUGAAUUUUUUACCAUAGACAUCUUUCGUCAUAAUGAUCAUAUCUGACGGUCGAAUUUUGGUUUGUAAAUUUUAGUCAUCAGAAUCACAGCGUGUCUACUAAUGUUGUAUAACUUGUUUAGUAGGUUAUACAACUUUGUGAACCAACUCUACAUAGGAAGCAAAAUUAUCAAAAAUCUCGUGAAAUAAGAUGUGUUCAGAAUGGUGAAAUACAGCUAUGGUUCAAAAAUCACAUAAAUCAGAUAAAGUCUCGGUGCCGAUAGUAGCGGUCAACCCUAUUUAGCGUUAUUAUUCCCUAUGGGGAGCCCUAUCGUCGGAAGGUAAAUGUCUCAAAAUUUUAUAUAUGGAUAAGUUGUUUGUAGUACUAAUCAAACUCAACUUAUCCAUAUAUAGAACUCAUCAAAUGGUGACUUGAGGAAGGAGAAAUUCGAUCGACACCCAAUCUGAACCGGCGGAGUUUUGGAGCUCGAUUUAUCCCUCACGGUGGUGCCACUCGAUGCACCACCUGUCCAGCAAUGAAGUAGAGAUGACGGCGAAACUUUUGGGACAAGUGUGGCGGUCUCCGGUGGCUUGACGGCGGAGCUAGGCCGAGAAGAAAUUCUGGCAGGCGAAAUAGACUUCUUACCAUCCACCUUCGGUAAAACUCCUAUAUAAAGAAUUUUAGCUGACGAAAUUCUUUAUUUUCGUCGGCUAAACUCUUUUAAAAAUUUUGAAAAUUUUGAAAAUUUUGGUUGACCGCCAAAAAAUUUUGGUUGAAAAUUUUGAAAUUUUUUCGACUUUAGCCGACGACUUUUCAUAUAUUUUCGUCGGCUAAAGUCCUUUGAAAAUUUUCCUCCAAAUUUGGUUUACAGCCCAAAAAUUUUUGACCUUAGCCGACGACUUUUUUAAUAUCUCAUCGGUUAAAGUCUAUAAAUUCACGAAAAUGCUCAUAUCUCUCUCUAUAUUACGUAGUUUGGUCAAACCUUCCACACGAAAAACUUUCACGUAGAUGAGACGCAACUGCCUAAACAGGUCAAUUGAAUCAAAAUNNNNNNNNNNNNNNNNNNNNUGUUUCAUCGGCUAUAGUUAUUUUUUUAAUUUUUUUUAUAAGGUUUAGCCGACGAAACAGACUAUAUUUCGUCGGCUAUAGUUAUUUUUUAAAUUUUUUUAUAUGGUUUAGCCGACGAAAUAUACUAUAUUUCGUCGGCUAUAGUUAUUUUUUUAAUUUUUUUUUUAUAAGGUUUAGCCGACGAAUAUCUUAAUUGUUUUGUUGGCUAAAGUCUGGGAAAAAAACCAACGACAUGUUUUUCGUUGGCUUAACUGUGGGACUAUAGCCGACGAAAUUUUUUUUUUCGUCGGCUAAAGUCAUCGCCGACGACCUUUUCCCGACGAAAUCUUAGCUGACGAAGGCUCGUCGGCUAAGAUCUUAGCAGACGAAUUAAGCUAACAGACCGACGAAAUUUUUUCGUCGGCUAAAGUGCUUGUUCGGGUAGUGUUAGAGUAGGAGCCUUCUUUGUGGUGUCAGUGAACCGGGAACCAAGCCUUGACCGGGUGAUUAGUUACGGUUAGUUUAGAGCUCUAGUCUGUCUGUCGGUACUUCAUGGGGGAUGACUAAGUGUUGACGAACUCAUAAGUUAGAGAGGAAAAAUGAUUGUCUGAUGAUCUUACUUAUUGUCAUUUAAAUUCCUUGCUUUGAGUAUCUCCUGAACUAUGUUUUCCGUAGGAGAUCCUUUAAUUUUAAUUGUGUGAUUUUAGUGGAAUUCCUGAACUACACUUUUUGCAGAAUUCUUUUAUGAUUUUGCAAGUGAGGAUUUUCAAGAUUGAGACGUACAGGUCUAGAAGCUAUUUGUUAGAAGUUGAAUAUUUUUGUUAUUGAUUGUCAAUUUGUAGUGAGCUUUUUAGAGCGUGACCUUUACUUGACUUCUCAAGUUAUGUAAACGUCGGAAUGUAUUAUAUGACCUUUUUAUUUUUGUUAUCAUGCCUUGAAUUUGGAUUUUUAUUUAUCCAAAAUUUGGGGUGUGACACUAUAGAUACUAAAUACGUAAAUUUAACUUACAAGAAAAAGAAGUUAACCACAGGUAAAACUUUAACAUAAAAGAAUAUAUUGAGUUUCUUUAAUAGAAUCGAAUGUCAAACAAGUGCACAGUACCAUUUAGUUUAAUGACAUUAGUCUCCUGUCAGUAAAUGGGAGAUCGUGAGUGUGACUUACAAUAGACUCAUUGUAGCAAUUUAGUUGUUUGUGUGUUUUUUUUUUAAAAAAAAGGUGUUGCUAAAUAUACCAGUAAAUUUCUAUGUAGACCUAGUAAACUUUUCACACCCAGCAAAAUUAUAUAAUUUCUAAAUGCACCUAGCAACUUUCCAAUAAUACCCUUUCUUAAUUAAACCCAGCAAAACUAGGAACAAACUCAAGAAUUUCACAUCUCACAGUUCGUUGGUCAUCAAUAUCUCUAUGUUCUUGGUUUAAAUCAUCCACGAGGUCUUUCAUUUUUUAUUUUAUUUCUUAGUUCAGGUAUGAAAUUUUGUUCAUUCAUUGACAGAUUAACACAUGUUUUUUUUUUGAUUCAUGGGUAGUGUUUAGUUUUGCUCUGAAUUCAAUUUGCUUAUGAAGGAUUUGAACAAUUACAUCUGUAGGAGAUGCGUACAAUUUGAUUGAAUCUGAAUAGGAGUUGAAAACAAUUUGUUUUGUCUUUUCUUUAUUUCACGAAUAGUGAAGUAGAUUGGGCUCAUCUAACAGAAACUCAUAUGCUUGCAUGUAUGGGAUGAUUUGAAUCUCUCACAAAUAAAUUUCUUCCUUUGCUUUAUAACUUGUGGCAUCCCCAUCCCGUAGUUAUAUUAUGAGUUUGUUCAGCAAUGAGGAAGAUGUACAGUAGAAGGGCAAUAAGCACUCCUCAAUCCUCAUUCCUUCUCUAUCAAAUAAUAUCCUCAAACAAGAGAAAGCUUUGUGCUUUUACUUCUUUCACAAAGACACAGAACAAAAUCGAUCAGACUUCUCUAUUCUGUCUCUAUCCUGUCUAGAUUUGGGUACAAGGUUUUACAAGGUUUUGCGGAAGAAACAACGUGAAUAUAUAAUGAACUGCUAGGUAUGUUUAGAAAUGACUGGGUAUUUGAAUUUCAAUUUCUUCUCAGUCUUCUGUCAUUAUUUUAAUUAUCAUGACUAUUAAUGUCAUUUGGUAAAAAGAUAAAAUUGUAUUUUCAAAUAAAACUGUUUUGUUUGGUCUAUUUAGUGAUUUGCUGGAUACAUUUAACAGCAAAAAAAAAAAAAUGAAACGAGUUGAUAUUAUAACCACUUCACCAGUUACGAUUUUUUUUUUAAUUAAUUGGAAUAAACUUUGGCGUAAUCACCGGUCACCCAUAGGUCAGUCUCAACUCUCUAAUUAAUAUAGUAUUAGUAACACACACAUACAAGUUAGUUAUGGUGGUAAUCUGUCAUAAAAAAAUCUAAAGGCAAAUGAUAGUGGAACCGCGCGCACUCUCAUAAUCUAUCAAAUUCCAAGUGAAAAUGGUCACCCUGUCCUCUCUGAAUAACAGAAUUAGUAGAUGUCAUCAUCACAUGAUUAUUCCAAAUUAAGUUGCUUUUUAUUCACUUCUAGUAUCUGUUGGCUAGCUAAAUUUUAAUUUUAUGUUUUUUGAAAGAAAUUUUAAUUUUAUGUUAAUUUGCAUUGAUUGCUUUUAGGUAUGGUAAUUAUGUUAAAACCCUACCCUGAAUAUGGGGUAAAACCAAACCUGAUGGAUAACCUAACUAACUAGUUUAAUUACUUUAAUAAUGAUUAAAGUUAAUGAAUCAAUGAGAGACAUAUAUAGCUGAUUAUCAUGGAGAUGGCAAAUAAGUGAUUGAAUUAAGUCAAUUAACUUCAUUUUGGAAUGUGAUCUAUCGUGUACUUACUACAAAUCUUUAGCCAUUUCCAUCCAUUUCAAAUGAGAAAUAAACAUGAAAAUAAUGGCUAAUAUUAAGGAUCAUCAUAUUCUUCAAAUAACUUUAUUUUUAUUAAUAAAUUGAAUUUACAAGAAAAAAUUUUCCAUGCUCCCAGAAAACAACGUGGCAUUACUUAGUGGUUCUCCUUACCUAUAAGACGUUGCCAUGUGGAAAUUUUGACUUGUCUGAUUGUCAGUUAACAACAAACUAACAUACUUCUCCGCCUCUUUUCUCUUGCCGUCAGAAAAAGAAAAAAAAAAAAAAAAUACAAACCCAGAUAUGCAGAUUUUAAGAGGGGUUGAUAGAUACCUAGAUCUGCAAUCCUCUUUUCUUCUUUUCUUUUUCUCAUCUUCAUGACUUCUGAUAUGAAUCAAAGAACAGAAAAUUGAUUUCUAUACUCAGUAUGAGGAGACUAGUUUAGAUUGACAUCACAACCAGACUUGAUUAGUAUGGUACUUGGAUUUAUCAUACUUAUCUGGUGUUUGAAACAACCAGAUUACAACACAACUGGAAUUCGAACAGAAAUACAGAAUCAAUGAACCAACAAAUUAAUUAAAGUUCAAUUCCUUUUUGAUUCCAAAUAGAUUAUUGGAACGGGUUAUCUCUAGAAUAGCCCAUGCUUUCAGGAUAGAUUCAUGUUCUCCGGCGGGGCACACUCAAUCAUUCCGGCGAUCUCAAUAUUUUGCAGAACACCGACAUCGGCGAAAUCAAAAGGUCGGUUGAGAAGAGUAAAAAAGAAGCAUAAAAUAGAAGAAGAAGAAAGGAGAUGAAGCUGAUGAGAGGCAAUAAUUAGAGUAUGAGACCUAUGAAGGAGAGGAGAUGAUGUUCAUGUCUGGAGGGAGGUUGAAGAACAGAUAAGAACGUAUCGAAACUGGAGUAGCGAUAGAUGUCUUUGCACUGCAUGACGGCAACCUUAACGACAGAGUUUAAGCGUUUAAUUUAUUAUUCAUAGGUGUCAAAAUUUCCACGUGGGAACAUCUUACCACCGGGCAAUGCCACAUGGUUCUCCGGGAACAUUGAAAAAUUUCUCGAAUUUACAAAUACCACUCCAGAAUAUUGUUGGAUGAUGUUUUUGGAGAGAGAGAGAGAGGGAGAGAGAGGUCUAUUAUCUUCAUGAUCAUAUAUUGUGUAGUACAACCUACUUAUUUCCCACCGAAAAUAAAAUUCCACCAACCAUUCUUCCUUUUGUACAUCUCAUAAUAACUACAAUUUAUACACCAACUAAUUAUUGAUACAUGAUCAUCUUGUAAACGUUGUACAUCUCUUCUCGGCCUACAUUUGUAUAUAUGCAGCAGCAACAGCAGCAGCUAUUCACAACUUCCUUCACAAUUAACUGUGUCUCAGCACUGAUCGAUUGAAAGCUUCUCGAUCUCUCGAAUACUAAAUCGACGUCGGUGACCUUUAUUUCAGACCUUUCCCCUCUCAUCUAAGCUAUAUAUGAACCUCCCCAUUGUUUGACAGACCUAAACAAAAUGUAAAAGCUAUAUAUAUGGCUAGAAAUGUUCUACCAGUCUUGAUCGAGGAAACAAAGAGGCCGGGAUCACAAAUUAGAAAAUGAAGAAGAAAUUAAGGAGUAUAUGUGGGAGGGGAAAAAAAGAUGACGAAAAAGAAAAGAGAGGGAAUAUUGGAAGGCAAUUAUUUAUCUCAACUCUGGUAGUCAAGUAAAGGAAAGGAGGAAACAUCUUUCAUCAGAUCCUCCAAGUCCCACUCCCCCAUUGUUAACCCUUGAUCCUGAUGAUCAUCUUCAAAGUAAUUCCCAACCCCAAUCAUGUUUUCACCCUUGAUGAUAUUGUUAGUGUUACUGUAGUAAUUGUUAUGAUCAUAGAAGAUCGUUUCAGUUUUGAGAUUAUUUUGAUCGUGGUCAAUGGUGCUUACGCUCUCUAGGGGAGGCACAUAGAUGUCUUCUUCUACUCUCAUAUUGACGUUCCCAAACACGUCAAUAUUUUGUCCAAAGCCACAAUCAUCACCAGUACUGCUACCACUGCCGACCGAACCAAUCUGAGCAGUGCAUGGGUUUCCAUUGUUGUAGUACCCGCCAUGCUCGACCAUCGGAAAGGGAUCAAACAUGUGGUUGAUCAGGGAGGUGGCUUGCAUUGAUGAAUCAGGGUAAAUGGGCAUCAUUGACGGUGGAAUGAUGUUCAUGAACCCUCCUCCUCCUCCGGCCGCGGCGAAGAAGUCAUUGUUGUUAGGCUGCUCCGAGGAAGAAUCACUCGCGUUUGGUGAGGCAGUGGAGGAGGAGGAGGACAGAAUUUUUAGACGUUUCUUUAUGGUCGAAUUCCAGAAGUUCUUGAUUUCGUUAUCAGUUCGUCCUGGCAAGCGUGCUGCAAUUUGAGACCACCUGUAUAUAUAGAAUGUAGAUAUAUACGAUUAAGUUAACUAAAUUAUAUAUGAUAUAACAGUCAAUUUCAUUGUUCAAGUGUUUUUAUGGGUAUGUUUGAAUGCAAUACUUAAUUGCAUGGUUUUCUAACCUAACACAGAGAAAGGUUUUGAGUGUUUUCGACUCGAAAGCUAUAUGCAGAUGAUGUAGACAUUACAUUAAUACGUUGGUAAUAUUAUAUAUCACUCAAACUUUCAAUCACUUAAUUUCUUAUUAACUAUACCUUACAGUUAGGGGACAACCUAAUAUUUCUGAUUCUCGUAUGUUUUCUAUGUAUUAAAUCAUACAUCGUUGAUUUGCAUGGAAGCCUAAAUAUACUAUUCAAAUAAGCAAUAUGGGCGUUGAGUGUCUUUAACUCCAAGGGCAGAUCCAUAUAUGCGUCAUAUAUAACCUUCACAUCAUAUUUCUAAAUAUAUGAAACUGGAUAAACGAAGCUCAGCAUAUAGCUAGUAAUAUGUUUAUGUGUGUGUCUGUGUCAAAACAUCAUACCAAAAGAGAAGUGUCAAAAUAUAACCUCUAAAUGAAAUAUGUUGUUAAACGUACUUAGAGCAUCUAACCAAAAAUCGAUUGUCAAUAACUGAUACCAAAAUUUGAUAUGGUCAUUUAGAUACAGCCUAAAUUAACUUUUCUUUCUAGGAAUCAAGUGAUUUAAAUGUAAAUGUGUCUUUUAAUUGGAUUGGCUAAAUAGAUGAAUUUUUAUAUUGGAUAACUACAACAAACAAUUCUUUUUCUCUUUUGGUUUUAAUAGAUUAAUUUUAGCAUAUGCAUAUAAGAAUAUAUGUGGUCAAAAUGAUCAUAUCAAUUCCCAUAACAGUUCACAGACAGUAAUUUGAAUUGGUGAAAAGAAAGGAUAUGACUUAAAAUGUGGACAUCAUGUAGUCUUCAUUAUGGUUUUACUCAUAUAUUAUCCUAUAUUAAACUGUAUUCUUCUAAGACUAAUUAAGCUUUAGUGAGAGAGAUAAUCAUAAUUAUUUUUUAUAUGCCAUUGCCUUAGAUAUAACAUAUUGACUGAAGUAAAAAAAAAAAAAAAAAAAAAAAACAACUCACACAGGAAUUAAACCCAGAAGCCAACAUAGUACUAUUUAUACCUCAAAACUAAUUCAGGUUAAUGGAAACUACUGUUUAGUGACCUUGAUUAUUACCUGUUGCCAAGAAGGGAAUGGAAAUGGAUGAUGAGGUCUUCUUCUUGGGGAGAAAAGGCACCUCUCUUAAGGUCAGGUCUCAAGUAAUUGAUCCAACGAAGCCUGCAACUCUUUCCGCACCUCUCAAGGCCAGCAUUUCUCGCCACGUCGCUCCAGCAGCCUUGGCCAUUGUUGAGCAUGUACCUCAUCAGCUUCUCGUCUUCUUCCGGCGACCACAAACCCUUCCUCAGCUUAUUAUUACUACUCAUGCCGCUGUUGUUCUUGUUAUUCUUCCCGCCGGUAUUACUUACAGCAUAGGGUUCCGGCUUCCUCAUUGCUCAAAACUAGAGUGAGUACUGAGUUUAAGGUUGAGAGAGAGAGAGAGAGAGAGAGAGAGGGAGGGGGGAGGGGGGGGNNNNNNNNNNNNNNNNNNNNNNNNNNNNNNNNNNNNNNNNNNNNNNNNNNNNNNNNNNNNNNNNNNNNNNNNNNNNNNNNNNNNNNNNNNNNNNNNNNNNNNNNNNGAGAGAGAGAGAGGUAGAGAGAAAGACAGAAAGAAGGCUUCAUAUGGUGGGAAUGAUGAUGGUGAUGAUGAUUGUGAUGGUUGUGGGGUUUGCUUACAAUAUAGGGAAAACAGAAAGAAAGAAAGAAAGAGAGAAAUAAGGUUGGUUGAUGAGUCUGAGUAGAAAACGGUUUCGAAGGGGACCUGCAGAGAGAGAGAGAUGGGUGGUCGUCUUGUCUUUGACUCCAUAAUCUUUGUCUGUUUUCUAUAGGCUAAUGCCUAUUUCUUCAAUUUCAAGCUAUAAUAUUUCUGAUAUAGAUAGAUAUGAAGGAGGCGAGCGAGCUAGGGUUUUUCUUUUUUAAACCAAGACAACAUAUUAAUUUGCUUCCACUUCACAUAAUCUCUGGCUCGACCUCUCUACACACGUGUAGUUGAAGAUAAACAAGGAGAUAAUUAAGAAUAAUUAACACUCUCCAUUGAUUGGGUUAAGUUCAUAUUCCAGCUUCACUACUGAUUGGCAAUGACAUCCACGUGUUUAUGCAAUUAUGCUAAUUUGGUUUUGUAUUAACCUCAUCAAAUGAAUCAAAUUGUAUACAGGAAAAGUAGAAAAGACUCCAUGCCAGUACGUACGUGUAUGUGGAAAUUUAACGCUAAAAUUAUUCUCAUCUGAAAAAGUUGCAAAAGAAGUGAUUUGGAGCUUUCCCCAUCACUCUAUCUCUGCAAUAUCCCUCUUUGUACAGGCCUCGUUGGAAAACGUAUUUCGCCGUGGGCUGAGAGGAUUUGUGAGAAUAUAAGCUAAAAUACAAAGAACGUAUAGCUCGAACGAUAUAAUCGAUAAUUCUAGUGACAUCCACAACUCCUACUGAAAGCAAUAAUAAAAAUAUAAAUGCAUCACUGCAAAAAAAAUUUCUGUUAAGGGCAUGUAUAAUGGAUGUUGUAAUGCAAUAUGACAUUUUUUAGGAUGCCAUUUGAUUUCUACUCUCAAAUCGAUCAGCUGUGGAUCCUAGAUUUGCCAUUAGUAACAUAAUCAUACAUGCAUGUCUCACAUUUUGCACGCGCGGAUCCCAUACAUGGAUUUUUCUGUUGCCCUAUAAUAAUUUUAAACGACUGAAAGUGAUAACGAUUAAUUAAAAUGGAUUGUAUUCGAAGUAAGCUAGGCUAUUUUGGCUUAAAUUGUCAGUUUGUAUUGAUUUACGUUUUAUAAAGAGGAGUUAAUAAGAUUAGAUGCAUUAUUAUGUGAAAGAAGAAAAAGGGAAACCUUUAUAUAUAUUUUAAUGGGGCAACAAGACCAUUGACUUAAUUAUCCGAUCGAUCGAGCAUCUCUUACAAGCAAGCUGCCCAUAUCUAUAUUCGAUUCCUCAUGUUAUUUCCUAAUUGGAAAACAUAAUUAAAUAGUUAUAAAAAUUGGUGAAGGAAGAACUUUAUUAUAUCCAAAAUAUAUUCUCUCCUUCCCCGACCUAACCGUUGCUAGGGAUUUCGGAUCGGCUUCGGCCGAUCCGGCACCUUUUAUGCUCCUCUAUUCUUCCUUCUUUCCUCUCGUGACCCAGCUUUGUUUGGCAGUGGCGCCGGAACUCAAUUGAGGCGGGAGGGGGUUGUGACCCCGCGACAAUUUCAAAUUUUCUCUUCUAUUAUAGUUUAAUUCCAUAUAAUUAAUUAUGUAUGCAGUUCAAGAAUUUGGUAUAUAUUAGCCUUUUUGGAAAUUUUAACCCCUCAGGAAUUCUGUUCGAAGUUCCUCCACUGUUGUUUGGGUAGAGAUUUGUUCGCCUGAUUCAGAACUUUUUAAUCAUUUUUUUUCAAGAACGGUCUCAUCGUGCUGUUGCCUCCUGAUUUAGUGCAGGUUGCCUUGCGGUUGCUGGGUAGCCAUGGGAGGCGAUGUGUGGCGCUGGGUAGAGGUGGAACCCCUUCUCUCCGGUUGGGGGUGGGUCGCGUGCGUUGGGGACUUGGGGGCGGAUGUCUUAAGACCAGGGUCGGUUCUGAGUAAUCGGAGGCCCUGUGCGAAUUUAAAGAUGUCUUUGGAGUUUUUUAAUUUCAUUUUUAUAUUUAAUUUUACAUUCUAUGUAUCGGUAACUUUACUGAGUAAGACAUCAUUCAACAUAGUCUUCCAUAUAGUGUGCAUGAUGACAUCAUCCGUGAUCUUUUACAAGUUACUGGUUCCUAUUCUGCCACAACUUUUCAUCAAGCCAACUCGGUCAUUUUCGUUUAAAACCCUUUAUUUCUCUUACUUCUGUAAUGUUAUGUUUUAUUUAUGAUCUGACUCCUAAGGAGUCUAUUCCUAUAUAAUAAAAGGUUGUUAGCCAGUUUCAAAGAAAAUUUAUUUAAAAUAUCAGGUUGAUAAUUAAAAUAUAAAAUUUAUUUUACCUUAUAACACAGACUCGAUUAUCAAAGUCAAACUAUCCCUAUGUACCAUAAAACUUGAAUUCUAAACAACUACCUUGGAUAGUAACUAUAUAGCACAAAGUAACAAAUUAAAAGAGCAAUGACAAUAUUCAAUGAAUCAAAACACCAAUAGGUCAAGUGUAACAUCUGAUUUAUAAACUUCUAAAGCGCCCCAUAUUCCUAUAAGCACUAGGAGACGCUAUUAAAUUACAUAGUAGCACAUGACCAAAUUUAAAAACACAAAAACCCCACUUCUAAUAUUUUUUGUACAAAUUAGGACACGAGCCCAAGCCCACCACCAACAAUGCCCAUACCUUACUCCGAAUUUUACCCUUAAAUGACGAAAAUACCUAAUUUUGCAACAGAAUUACAAACUCUGCCAUGGAUCUUCCUUCUCCGUCCAACUGCUCUCUCUCUCUUUCCACAACUCUUAUCCUUGACACAUGAACAGAAGACGCCAACAACGCCUGGAAGCCGAAGCACUAAACAUCGACGACACUUGGACAUCGAUGACGCUAGACAACGACGAUUUGAUUUGAACAUCAACGACUUGAUCUAGACGCUGACGACUCGAUUUGAACGUCGAUGACUCGAUCUAGAUGCUGGACACCUAGGACACCUGGAUGCCGAUGGCUGCGAGAUUUCGUCGACGAUGCUUGAUGCUCAAUGUUUGGCCAAGACAAUGCUCAAAUCCAUCUUGAAUCUUUCGACGCUAAGCGAACAAUCUACUAAUUACAUCGCUCAGGUAAAUCCAUGGCUAUUGAAUUGAGGUAGUGAUGAAUGUCUUGAAUGUUUUGGUUCUUUUUUGGGGCUUCUGGUUGCAGUGAGAAGGUGUAUCAGAGGGGAUGAGGUAGUUUGGUAUGCAGAUGGUGAUGAAUUUGGGGAAAUGUGUACAAUUCAGUAGGCAAGAACACCUCUCUUGUGGGUAGUAGGACCUUUCUACUUGGUCUAAAUCGACAGUAGCAGUUUUGUUUGGUUUCAGAGAUUACCGGAAGAAAAAUUGCAAUAGCAUUGUAAGUAACACAUUCCUGCUCAAUAGUAGCAUAUUUCUCGUCGACAGUAGCAACAAAAUAUGUAGUGAAGGAUAUUCUGGUAAAAUACAUAAUGACAUGUGGACAUUAACUUGACCUUAUUUCACUACAAGAAGAAAGGUUUUAGCCGACGAAAAUAAAAAAACCAGGCCGACGAAUUAUUUUUUCGUCGGCUAAAGUCCACGUUAGCCGACGAAAUUUUCCUUCGUCGGGUAAUUUAAAUUUUCAUCGGCUAUGAAUUUCGUCGGCUAAAGAAUUUUUUUCGUCGGCUAUAGUCUGUGAACUAUAGCUGACGACUCUAAAGAAUAUAUUUUGUCGGCUAAACCCUAAACCCUAAACCUUAGCCGACGAAUACCCUAAUAUACGAUUUGUUGCAUCUCAUCGAAUUGAAACUAUUUUCAGUUGAAGGUCCGGCUAAAAUACGUAAUUUAGACCGUCCAAUGACUUUUUCCGUGCGUUUAGGGGUUUGACUUACGGGAUUGACCGUCCGGAUCAAGCCCUUAACCUUGUCGGAUCAAGUUGAAUUUUUUUCCAUACAUGUAUUUUAUCAUGAUGGUCAGAUCUGACGGUCGGAUUUUCCUUUCUCAAGUUUGAUCAUCACAAUCACAACAUGCCUACUAAUGUUUUAUAAUUUGUUUACCGUGUUAAAUAAAUGUUUCGUUUCAAAAACAAAGUAUACGUAGAACCUUCAAACGCAAAAAAGUAGUGAAAUAAGAUAUGACCAGAAUGGUGAAAUACGUCUACGGUUGAAAAAUCACGGUCUUCUGGUAAAGUCUCGGUGCCGAUAGUUGCGGUCAAUGCAAUUUUCUAUUCUUUCUCCCUAUGGGUAGCCCUAUCUUCGGUGGUUAUUUUCCGUAAAAUUUUUAUACGACUUGUUGCGUCUCAUCGAUUUGAAACUAUUUUCAGUUGAAGGUUCGGUCAAAAUACGUAAUUUAGACCGUCCAAUAACCUUUUCCGUGCGUUUAGGGGUUUUACUUACGGGAUUGACCGUCCGAAUCGAGCCCUUAACCUUGUCGGAUCAAGUUGAAUUUUUUCCCAUACAUGUAUUUUAUCAUGAUGGUCAGAUCUGACGGUCGGAUUUUCGUUUCUCAAGUUUGAUCAUCACAAUCACAAUGUGCCGAAUGUAUAAAAAGUAUUAUAGCCGACGACAUUAUUGAAAAUUCGUCGGCUAUAGUUAAUAAAAUAAAUAAAACAAAUAAAUUGAAAAUAUUAAAUAAAAAGUACUAUAGCCGAUGAAUUUCAUUACUUUAGCCGACGAGAUUUACAGGUUUAACCGACGAAUUUCAAAGGUUUAGCCGACAAGAUUCACAGGUUUAGCCGACAAAUUUCAAAGGGUUAGGGUUCACCCGACGAGAUUCACUGCUUUAGCCGACGAAUUUCAAAGGUUUAGCCGACGAAUUUCACAGGUUUAGCCGAUGAAAUUUUUAUUUCGUCGGCUAAAGGUAUAGGACAGCCUCCACAGCGUUUCAAAAAACCCUAAAAAUUUCGCCUACUCGCCGUCGUCUGCUCGUUGCCCGUCGCCUGCUCGCCGUCGUUACUUGUUCUGGUACUGUUCAAUUCUCUCUAUUUGCUUCUCGCUGUCUGUAAAAUUAGGGCUAAAGUAAACUGCCUUGCUUUCCUAUCAAACGGUGAGUUUAAUUGGAAAUGCCGAAGCUUUAAAUUUCAAUUUUAUCAUUAUGUGUUAUUUAUAAUUAUUGUUCUGUUUAGUUCUCCAGGUUGAAGCGAGUAGGAGCGAAUCAAUUGUGAAUAACCGAUAUUUAGUGAUUAGUGAGUAAAGGUGUAGUCUUUUCCCAGAGUUACCUUAGGAAAUCAAAAUCUAGUCUGGUUGUCUAGUUUAGGCUUGGUUUUCGCAUUGGUAGUUAUUUGGGAGCUAUCUCUUUUUUCAAGUGAUCGAUAGGUUGAUUUUCAGAACUUAAUCUAGGAUGGAAGUUUAGUUUUACUGUUGUCUUUAUAAUCCAGGGCCGAAGGAUGUUUUUGAAUUUAGAAAUUUGCAGCAUUAUAGAGGUCAGCAUGUAUAGUUACCGUUUCUUU